rnacentral:SRP_RNA from 1 species
CUGCGGUCCCUUCGCAGCGACGCCUUGUGAACCCCGCCAGGCCCGGAAGGGAGCAACGGUAGCAAUGGAUUCGGGUGCCGGAGUGCGGCUGUAGGGG